GGAAGGGGCUUGAGGGGCUUGAGGGGCAGGCCCCCCGAGCGGGGCGACCAGGCGGACGGCCCGGGUGGGCUCCGUGCUUAGCCCGGGUCCCCCUCCCCCGCCAGCUCCUUUCUGCGAGCGAGACCAUUCCGGCCAUCCUCCUGCUCCCUUCCGGGGAUUCCUGGAAGGCAGCGGAUCCAGAGGGUUGCUCCCCUCCCUCCCCGGUGUUGUUCCCCUCCCAGAAUCCAGAACCCCAGACUCAGGAAAGAACGGCCCCUGCUGUCCCUUCCUCGCUUUCGGUCCCAAUCACGUUGUCAAGCUUUUGUGUGAACCGACCCAGCUGUAACCCUUCCCCACUCGGCCUACCAUGAGGCAGAGUCCCUGAGAGGUGCUGCAGCCUCGCUGCCCUCCGUCCUCCUACCCACCUGGAGGCAGGGUGGACCCCAGGACAUAGGUGCCCCCUUUCCGCAUGGAAAAGGCCAGCAUCACCCUGCUCCCAAAAGCAGAGUCACAGAAAGGUCUGGUGGAACCUGCCGCUGCCCAGCAACGUCAGGACGACCGAGUCGGCAGGAAUUGGGUGGUGUUACGGUGUUACAACUGAGCACCCUUGCAGCAGGUCAGGGAAGGAAAGCCGGCCACCUCCAGGGCACCCUCCUCAUUCAAGAUGCAGAAAGAAGAGAUGAUGGCUCCCCUCAAGUUCCUUCCUGCCCGAAGCCACCAGGGUUCAUUCUGUGGUCUAACUGCUAGCCCUCUACUGACAGGUUAAGUCUAGAUCCCCAGAAAGAAAGGC
rnacentral:lncRNA from 1 species